rnacentral:rRNA from 1 species
GACGAACGCUGGCGGCGUGCCUAAUACAUGCAAGUCGAACGCAUUUUCUUUCACCGUAGCUUGCUACACCGACAGAAAAUGAGUGGCGAACGGGUGAGUAACACGUGGGUAACCUGCCCAUCAGCGGGGGAUAACACUUGGAAACAGGUGCUAAUACCGCAUAAUUCCAUUUACCGCAUGGUAGAUGGAUGAAAGGCGCUUUUGCGUCACUGAUGGAUGGACCCGCGGUGCAUUAGCUAGUUGGUGGGGUAACGGCCUACCAAGGCUGCGAUGCAUAGCCGACCUGAGAGGGUGAUCGGCCACACUGGGACUGAGACACGGCCCAGACUCCUACGGGAGGCAGCAGUAGGGAAUCUUCGGCAAUGGACGCAAGUCUGACCGAGCAACGCCGCGGGAGUGAAGAAGGUUUUCGGAUCGUAAAACUCUGUUGUUAGAGAAGAACAAGGAUGAGAGUGGAAAGUUCAUCCCUUGACGGUAUCUAACCAGAAAGCCACGGCUAACUACGUG